UGGGGAAUAUUGCACAAUGGGGGAAACCCUGAUGCAGCCAUGCCGCGUGUGUGAAGAAGGCCUUCGGGUUGUAAAGCACUUUCAGUAGGGAGGAAGGGUUGAUGUCUAAUACGCAUCAGCAUUGACGUUACCUACAGAAGAAGCACCGGCUAACUCCGUGCCAGCAGCCGCGGUAAUACGGAGGGUGCAAGCGUUAAUCGGAAUAAAUGGGCGUAAAGAGCACGAAGGCGGUUGGAUAAGUCAGAUGUGAAAUCCCCGGGCUCAACCUGGGAACUGCAUUUGAAACUGUCGGACCAGAGUCUUGUAGAGGGGGGUAGAAUUCCAGGUGUAGCGGUGAAAUGCGUAGAGAUCUGGAGGAAUACCGGUGGCGAAGGCGGCCCCCUGGACAAAGACUGACGCUCAGGUGCGAAAGCGUGGGGAGCAAACA
rnacentral:rRNA from 1 species